GACGAACGCUGGCGGCGUGCCUAAUACAUGCAAGUCGAACGCAGUGGGGACGGGUGAGUAACACGUGGGUAACCUCCCAUCAGAGGGGAUACCACUUGGAAACAGGUACUAUACCGAUACUGAUGGAUGGACCCGCGGGGCAUUACCUAAGUGGUGAGGUAACGCCGGACCAAGGCCACGAUGCAUAGCCGGCCUGAGAGGGUGAUCGGUCACACUGGGACUGAGACACGGCCCAGACUCCUACGUGAGGCAGCAGUAGGGAAUAUUCGGCAAUGGACGAAAGUCUGACCGAGCAACGCCGCGUGAGUGAAGAAGGUGUUCGGAUCGUAAAACUCUGUUGUUAGAGAAGCGGUAUCUAACCAUAAAGCCACGGCUAACUACGUGCCAGCAGCCGCGGUAAUAC
rnacentral:rRNA from 1 species